rnacentral:rRNA from 1 species
UACGAAGGGGGCUAGCGUUGCUCGGAAUGACUGGGCGUAAAGGGCGCGUAGGCGGCUUGCACCGUCAGAUGUGAAAUUCCUGGGCUUAACCUGGGGGCUGCAUUUGAUACGUGUGGGCUUGAGUGCGGAAGAGGGUCGUGGAAUUCCCAGUGUAGAGGUGAAAUUCGUAGAUAUCAGGAGGAACACCGGUGGCGAAGGCGGGUCUCUGGGCCGAUACUGACACUGAGGAGCGAAAGCGUGGGGAGCGAACAGG